rnacentral:precursor_RNA from 15 species
UUCAGCCGAAUAUAAAUAUGAAUUUCCCGUAGGACGGGAAGGUGUCAACGUUUUGCAUUUCGAAUAAACAUUGCACUUGUCCCGGCCUAUGGGCGGUUUGUAAUAAACAACUAAAAUCUA